UGGCAGACCUUCCAAGUCAAAAGAUCUUCCAAGUCAUGGUGUUGAUUUGUAUUUUGUGAAAGAAAAUUAUUGUAUUAGUAUUCAAUUUGAAAGUUGCUUGUGAUUUAACACUUGUUGAACUUAGUUUAAUGUUAAUUUGAUUUCAUAACUUAUGGUUUUGUUUCACGUCUUUCUCCCACGUAUCAUAAUAUUUUAUUCUAACACUUUAUGAUACAUCGUCCAACCUAACCUUCUCAAUUACUUCCUCUAUUUAAAACCUCGAAUUAUAUUUAAACUUCAUCACUGGUUAAUCAUGUCAGAAAUAGAUUAUGAAUAUGAAUGUAUGAGGGCUGAAUUACUUGGUCUUCCUAAACCAGACAAAGAAGAAUUUGCAACCAAAAGGAAUGAUGUAGAAAUUGAAGAAGGUACCAGUAGGCCUACAGGUGUUGAGAGCAAUCCUGAAGAAGAACUGGGCGUUCAGGAUGAACAUAUCAAGAAUGUUGCUGGCGGACUAAAUGAAAUCAGUAGCAUCCUACAAACUACACAGAAAAAAAUUAACAGGUUCAAAUUGUUAUGAUUGUUUUCAAGUGUGGUAAGAAGAGCGUAAAAUGCUUUUGAGUUGAUUAUCAUGGCUGGUUUUGUACUAUAAUUAUCUGGACUGUAUUCGGGAGUGUGACUAGUCUACUAAAGACCCGCGUAUCGGCUGGAGAAUCCUCAUCUGAGACAAGCAGUGUUGCUGGUAAUGAUGAUAAACAAGAUGGUGGUCUUCAAGUGAUGGAGGGUCAGCCAACCUCUUCUGGCGAUGCAUCCUCAGUUCAGGCCAGUGAAAAUACUCCACAACUGCCAAUCAAAAGUCCCAAAAGCAUCGAUGUUGCCGAAAUGGUUGGUAGUCAUAUAUCGACUUUGGACUCGAUGAUCUACAAAGCAGAUGAAAUAAACGCGAGCAUGAGCCAUCAGAAUAAGCAAAUGAGAAUCUUCAUCAAUAAGUAAUACUUUGCUCUCCUCUCUUGAAUAAUCUAUGUAUACUUUUAUAACCUAGCUUUGUGAUACUAUCAUUACUCUUAAGGUGCGUAUAGAUUUACGCGCCGCGAACAUGAGCAAUUCACUUUUAAUCAGCUGAUGCCAAGCUUUUUAUAUCUGUAUCUUACCGUUUCUGUAAAAAUACAUAAAAGUGAAUUGCUCAUGUUCGCGGCGCGUAUAUCUAUACGCACCUUCAUACAGAGUGUUUAUAAUAAUGAUUAUCGGGGUUUCAAUUCUAUAAAAUUAAUCACAUUAAACUUGAGUUCCGCACACACACAUCGAUUUUUGUUCGUACGAUAUUUUGCCGUCCUGAAUUCUAUUGGAUUAAACGAAACUUCUGUUCAAUCUAAUAGAAUUUAUAAGGACGGCAAAAUAUCGUACGAACAAAAAUCGACGUGUGUGUUCAGAGCUUUACAGUUAUAAAUGAUAUGUCAAAUGGAAGAGUAACUCAAACAGUUCUACUAAGAACCUUAUAAAUGUGACUACCAUUUGUCACACGGCACACAUUCAGCCUAUAGUCAAAUUCUUCCCAAACGUUGAUAAGUGUGUCUUCAUUAAUUGUAACAACAGCUACUUCAAUCCGAUUUUUAUUAAUUCAGGGAGGUUAGCUGGUAGUAUAGGCACUUACACACGAUGAAGAAAGAUGGUGAAAGAAAGAUGUUGGUUGAUAUAAACCUGAUUGUCGGUCGGCGAAUUGCAUAUUUCCUUCAGCUUAAUUCCCUUCUUCUGUUUUGCCGCCGCGAGCCAUGCAGCCUUUUUCCUACGUGAUGUGAAUUUGACAAUAAUUGAAGUGUCUCCUUUUUUGUUGGAACGCGAUGCACCACCGAAACGUCCUCUUCUUUGAAAUUUAGUUUGAGAGGCUUACUUAGGCGUUCGAGUACGUUUAUGAGAUUUUCUCCUGUGGUUUCCGGGAUUCCAACUAUCUCCAAAUUGUCGAUUCUGCUUCUCUGAAUCAACGAAUGAACGAAUGAAUGAAUGAAUAAAUGAACGAACGAACGAACGGAUGAAUGAAUGAAUGAAUGAAUGAAUGAAUUGAAUGAAUGAAUGAAUAAUGAAAUUAUUUCUUGUUGUAAUGAGCGUACAUGAUUUGCAGUUUCCGUGUUUUUCUUCUCCAAAUCAUCACACUUUAGUUUCAAUUUGUUUUGUUCUGAAGCUAGAUCAUCAAGACGAGUUUUUAUUCCAUCGGUUAUUGUGGUUAACGUAUCUAAUUUGGAGGAGUUUUUUUGUAGAAGAGGAUAGGGAUACCAUCAAUGCCCUUGGAGUUGACAAUAUUUAGAUUCACUUUUUAUGACAGUAAGUUCUGUUUGGAGUUCCGUGAUUUGAGUUCUCAAUGCGUUUAUUUCAGACUGCAUUGAUGAAAGUUUGUUUCAAUGAGGGGCGCUAACUUAUCAGCUAAUUUUUGUAUAAAAGAGAACUGCUGUAACCGUUAGUUUUAUCGUCUCUAGGAGAGCAGGUGAAACGUCAAAGUCGUUAUCGGCUGAUAAGGACCGUCUCAUUGCACCACGAGCUGUAGCAGUCACAGAGUCUAAUCGCUUAUCGCUAGCCUUACCUCGAUUGGCGCUAACCCUAGUAUUCCUUGGCGAGUCAUGAUACAUGUUUUCUCGAUUUUUAGGGCUUGAACACUAAAAAACUGAGGUAAAGCUUUAGAAACAGGAGCUUGAAAAUACUAAGUCUACUCAGCGUUCAUCUACCAUCUAUCAGAGAGGUUGUUCCAGAACAACGUUCGAAAAAUAUGUAGGAGCACUAGGAGCUGCUAGAGGAAAAACCCUUCAGAAAAACGCAGGGGAUAGAGGCAGGUGGAGGUGCUGGGUCGAGGAAUCCUCAAACUACCUUGCGCUGUGAGGCGGAAGGGCUCAAACUACCCUACGCUGUGAGGCAGGGCACAAACUACCCUACGCUGUGAGGCAGAAGGGCUCAAACUACCCUACGCUGUAAGGUAAAAGGGCUCAAAGGGCUAUGCACUACUUGCAUACUUCCACCAAGUUUCAACAAAAUAACUUCACUAAAACCCAGUUGAAAAGCUUUAGAAACAGGAGCUUGAAAAUGCUAAGUCUACUCAGCGUUCAUUAUCUACCAGAGAGGUCGUUCCAGAACAACGUUCGAAAAAUAUGUAGGAGCACUAGGAGCUGCUAGAGGAAAAACCCUUCAGAAAAACGCAGGGGAUAGAGGCAGGUGGAGGUGCUGGGCUGAGGAAUCCUCAAACUACCUUACGCUGUGAGGCAGAAGGGCUCAAACUACCCUACGCUGUGAGGCAGGGCUCAAACUACCCUACGCUGUGAGGCAGAAGGGCUCAAACUACCCUACGCUGUAAGGUAAAAGGGCUUAAACUACCCUACGCUGUAAGGUAAAAGGGCUCAAACUACCCUACGCUAUGAGGCAGGGCACAAACUACCCUAAGCUGUGAGGUAAAAGGCCUCAAACUACCCUACGCUGUGAAGCAGAAGGGUAACUGAGAAAAAAGAAGCAAAUAUGUAUAUUAUUGAAAGUACUAUUUGCCAUACUGUCAUUUGAUGGUAUAGAAUGAUAUACAGUUCAAUGAAACUAAUGUGAAUUGUGACUUGGCUAUGUGUAACUUCUAUGUCCAACUGGCCCAAUAAAAACUUGAAACUUAAAUGAUGCCUUAUGAAAGAUAUUCUGUGUAGGAUUAGGGGUAAACUGGGUAACCCGCCCAGGCCAAACUCUCCAAUGAUGAUUGGCAGUGGUGUACAUGCUCUAGAGGGAUCAAUGGACCAGUUGCGUUAAAUUCAGCCCCUGUCUCUUGAGUGCUGGAUCCCCUGGGUCCUAUGCUGUGAUAUGACUUCUGGCAGGUGCCCCUCAGGCAUCUACUCCUGCCCCCAGACCUGCUCGGCGGAAACCUUGCACGCACAUGCACACUUGUGCCAACAAACAAAACUGUUUGAGUUACUCUUUCAUUUUGACUUAUCAUUUAUAACUGUAAGUUAAUUGUAAUGAAUUUUAUAAAGAGUUGAAACCCCGAUAAUUCAUAAACACCUUGUACUACGUGAGGUCCAAGUUAUAAUGGAAAUGGAUUAAGAUAGAAGUACAACGUUGCCGAUUCUCUGCCUUCUAUAGAGGAUAGCUGAUACCGGUAUAUCUGAUUAACUGUUCAUUCUCGUUUAAAACAAUCAAUCAUAUUUUAUGCGUCAAGAAAAUAUAUUUCCAAUUAUUAAAUAAUACACUAUCAUAAUUUAGAUUAAUAAUGUUGUUAAUUAUAUUUCUACAUUGUUAAAACACGAUCUGGCAACGUUGCGGAGUUAGAAAAGGAUAGCGCUAUCUGCUUUGUUGAAUGAUAGAUAAGGAUAGCAUCACAAAUUUUAAUCUGCCAUUAUAACUUGGACCUCACUAUGUCAUUAUUUUUUAUCCUUGUAUACCUUAUAAUCACUAUGGAAUACUGUAUUCAGCUCUGAACUAUCAUUCUCUUAAAUACUAUAAUUAUACUGCUCUAAACUAUCAACUAAGUGAAAUGCUAUGUACAACUACAAACAAUCUAUCAAUUCUUGAACUAUUUUCACUCCACUAUGGAAUACUAUACUAUACUCGAAUUUUGACUACAUUAACUCUAUUAGAACAAUAAUCAUCAAAUCGCUUCAUAGUUUUCAGCCCACUUUAGGAACCCAUCAACAUUCUAUUAUACUGCAAUUACAAAUGUUCGUGAUAUUUUGUUUGUUUUUUGUGUAGUUGAGAAGUUGAUAUUGUGGUAAUUAUUCAUAUUGAAUGAAAAAGACUAAGAAAUUGUCAAAAGCCACAGAUUUAUUGAUACCUAAAAAGACCGGU